rnacentral:rRNA from 1 species
GGGCCCGCACAAGCGGUGGAGUAUGUGGUUUAAUUCGAUGCAACGCGAAGAACCUUACCAGGGUUUGACAUCCUGCGAAUCUUUUGGAAACGAGAGAGUGCCUUCGGGAACGCAGUGACAGGUGGUGCAUGGCUGUCGUCAGCUCGUGUCGUGAAAUGUUGGGUUAAGUCCCGCAACGAGCGCAACCCACGUCUUUUAGUUGCCAGCAUUAGUUGGGCACUCUAGAGAGACUGCCGGUGAUAAACCGGAGGAAGGUGUGGAUGACGUCAAGUCAUCAUGCCCCUUACAUCCUGGGCUACACACGUACUACAAUGCUACGGACAAAGGGCAGCAAGUUCGCGAGGACAAG